UAAAUUUACAGGGUGAUCUACGAUCACGCGAGCUUGGUGAAGGCGAUUGAGCAAGUCGACGGUAAUCCACAAUAUUCCUUACCAUUUUUACUAUUUUAGAUUAUGGGUUCUGUUUGGGAAUCAAAUGUAUGGUUUGUGUUGGUGCAUCAAUCUCACUGAUUACAGUCAGUUGCAGAUGAAGCAGCUAGCUAGCUUUCACCAGAAAACAAAACAGGGAUUUGAAGUCCUCGGAUAGUCAUGUCCAACUGGAUCGAUCUGCACUCAUAUGUUAAUUUGAUUUUGUAGCGGAAUGAAGAUAGAUCCUAUCCGAAGUUUAUUACCUUUUCAAUUUAAUAAGAAGAUCAGAGUCCGUGUAUGCAGAAUUUGGAGACCUAAGGUUAUAGGAAAACAUAAUACGUUUGGCGGUCUUCAAUGUAUAUUGAUUGACGAAAUGGAGAUCGGGUUUUUCGAAUUUGUGACUUUUCUUUGAAGCCUGUGAAUACCUCUAUGUUUUAG